UCCGACCUCCGGGCGACCGCCGGCGUUUCGCUGGAGGAAAGUCCGGGCUCCGCAGGGCAGGGUGGUGGGCAACCCCCACCGCUCCACAUGGAGCAGGGAAAGUGCCACAGAGAACAGACCGCCGGCUGGCCGGACUCGUCCGGCAACGGUAAGGGUGAAACGGCGAGGUAAGAGCUCACCGCGGCGCGGGAAACCGCUCCGGCACGGCAAACCCCACCCGGAGAAAGACCGAAUAGGAGGAUCGCGUGGCCCGCGCCCAGAUCCUCGGGUAGGUCGUUGGAGAUCGACCGCGAGGUCGAUCGCAGAGAAAUGGUCGCCACCGGGCAUCGCCCGGGACCAGGACCCGGCUUACGGGGGUCGGACAUU
rnacentral:RNase_P_RNA from 1 species